rnacentral:rRNA from 1 species
UGGGGAAUCUUGCACAAUGGGGGAAACCCUGAUGCAGCGACGCCGCGUGAGCGAUGAAGGUUUUCGAAUCGUAAAGCUCUGUCCUAUGGGAAGAUAAUGACGGUACCAUAGGAGGAAGCCCCGGCUAACUACGUGCCAGCAGCCGCGGUAAUACGUAGGGGGCGAGCGUUGUCCGGAAUUACUGGGCGUAAAGCGAGCGCAGGCGGUUAGAUAAGUCUGAAGUUAAAGGCAGUGGCUCAACCAUUGUAGGCUUUGGAAACUGUUUAACUUGAGUGCAGAAGGGGAGAGUGGAAUUCCAUGUGUAGCGGUGAAAUGCGUAGAUAUAUGGAGGAACACCGGUGGCGAAAGCGGCUCUCUGGUCUGUAACUGACGCUGAGGCUCGAAAGCGUGGGGAGCGAACAGG